rnacentral:rRNA from 1 species
CCUACGGGAGGCAGCAGUGAGGAAUAUUGGUCAAUGGACGCAAGUCUGAACCAGCCAUGCCGCGUGCAGGAAGACGGCUCUAUGAGUUGUAAACUGCUUUUGUACGAGGGUAAACGCAGAUACGCGUAUCUGUCUGAAAGUAUCGUACGAAUAAGGAUCGGCUAACUCCGUGCCAGCAGCAGCGGUAAGACGGAGGAUUCAAGCGUUAUCCGGAUUUAUUGGGUUUAAGGGGUGCGUAGGCGGUCGGAUAAGUCAGAGGUGAAAUCCCGAGGCUCAACUUCGGAAUUGCCUCUGAUACUGUUCGGCGAGAGAGUAGUUGCGGGAGGCGGAAUGUAGGGUGUAGCGGUGAAAUGCUUAGAGAUCAGACAGAACACCGAUGGCGAAGGCAGCUUACCAAGCUACUUCUGACGUUGAGGCACGAAAGCGUGGGGAGCAAACAGGAUUAGAUACCCCAGUAGUC